AUGGCUAAGUGUUGUGUACCAGUAUGCCCACGGCCGAUGUGUAUCCCUCCACCGUAUGCUGACCUCGGCAAAGCUGCCAGAGACAUUUUCAACAAAGGAUUUGGCUUUGGGUUGGUGAAGCUGGAUGUGAAGACGAAGUCAUGCAGUGGUGUGGAAUUUUCAACAUCUGGCUCAUCUAAUACAGACACUGGUAAAGUUAGUGGGACCUUGGAGACCAAGUACAAAUGGUGUGAGUAUGGUCUGACUUUCACAGAGAAAUAGAACACCGAUAACACUCUGGGGACAGAGAUCGCAAUUGAAGACCAGAUUUGUCAAGGUUUGAAACUGACUUUUGACACCACCUUUUCACCGAACACAGGAAAGAAAAGUGGUAAAAUCAAGUCUGCUUACAAGAGGGAAUGUAUAAACCCUGGCUGUGAUGUUGACUUUCAUUUUGCUGGACCUGCCAUCCAUGGGUCAGCUGUCUUUGGUUACGAGGGCUGGCUUGCUGGGUACCAAAUGACCUUUGUUUGACAGUGCCAAGUCAAAGCUGACAAGGAGUAACUUUGCAGUCAGCUACAGGACUGGAGACUUCUAGCUACACACAAAUGUAAAUAAUGGGACAGAAUUUGGAGGAUCAAUUUAUCAGAAAGUAUGUGAAGAUUUUGACACUUCAGUAAACCUUGCUUGGACAUCAGGUACCAACUGCACUCAUUUUGGCAUUGCAGCUAAAUACCAGUUGGAUCCCACCGCUUCUAUUUCUGCAAAGGUCAACAACUCUAGUUUAAUUGGCCUCAGUCUCUGAGGCCUGGUGUGAAGCUUACACUAUCUGCCCUGGUAGACGGGAAGAGCUUUAAUGCUGGAGGCCACAAACUUGGGCUUGCCUUGGAGUUGGAGGCUUAAUCCAGUUAAAAGAGACCUCUGG